CCUACGGGAGGCAGCAGCUAAGAAUAUUCCGCAAUGGACGAAAGUCUGACGGAGCGACGCCGCGUGGAUGAUGAAGGCCGGAAGGUUGUAAAAUCCUUUUGGGAGCGAGGAAUAAGUGAGGUGAGAGAAACGCCUCAUGGUGACGGUAGCUUCUGAAUAAGCAACGGCUAAUUACGUGCCAGCAGCCGCGGUAAU
rnacentral:rRNA from 1 species